rnacentral:rRNA from 1 species
AUUGAACGCUGGCGGCAGGCCUAACACAUGCAAGUCGAACGGAGUGGCGGACGGGUGAGUAAUGUCUGGGAAACUGCCUGAUGGAGGGGGAUAACUACUGGAAACGGUAGCUAAUACCGCAUACUAUCAGAUGAGCCUAGGGCGGAUUGGCGAGUUGGUGGGGUAAAGGCCUACCAAGGCGACGAUCCGUAACUGGUCUGAGAGGAGGAUCAGUCACACUGGAACUGAGACACGGUCCAGACUCCGACGGGAGGCAGCAGUGGGUAAGAUUGGACAAUGGGCGAAAGCCUGAUCCAGCCAUGCCGCGUUUGUGAAGAAGGUCUUCGGAUUGUAAAGCACUUUAAGUUGGGAGGCGUUACCAACAGAAUAAGCACCGGCUAACUUCGUGCCAGCAGCCGCGGUAAUAC